rnacentral:rRNA from 1 species
UCCAAAAAUUAGUCCCAGUUCAGAUUGCAGGCUGCAACUCGCCUGCAUGAAGUCGGAAUUGCUAGUAAUCGUGGAUCAGCAUGCCACGGUGAAUACGGUUCCCGGGCCUUGUACACACCGCCCGUCACACCAUGGGAGCCGGUAAUACCCGAAGUCAGUAGUCCAACCUCGUGAGGACGCUGCCGAAGGUAGGAUUGGCGACUGGGGUGAAGUCGUAACAAGGUACC